GACGAACGCUGGCGGCGUGCUUAACACAUGCAAGUCGAACGGAAAGGCCCUGCUUUUGUGGGGUGCCCGAGUGGCGAACGGGUGAGUAACACGUGAGUAACCUGCCCUUGACUUUGGGAUAACUUCAGGAAACUGGGGCUAAUACCGGAUAGGAGCUCCUGCUGCAUGGUGGGGGUUGGAAAGUUUCGGCGGUUGGGGAUGGACUCGCGGCUUAUCAGCUUGUUGGUGUAGUGGCUUACCAAGGCUUUGACGGGUAGCCGGCCUGAGAGGGUGACCGGCCACAUUGGGACUGAGAUACGGCCCAGACUCCUACGGGAGGCAGCAGUGGGGAAUAUUGCACAAUGGGCGGAAGCCUGAUGCAGCAACGCCGCGUGCGGGAUGACGGCCUUCGGGUUGUAAACCGCUUUCGCCUGUGACGAAGCGUGAGUGACGGUAAUGGGUAAAGAAGCACCGGCUAACUACGUG
rnacentral:rRNA from 1 species